CCGCCCAGCGCUGAGAAGUCAGGGCGUGCAGCAGGGACCGGACCCCGUUUCACAGACGGGAAGGCUGAAGCCCAGACCAGCCGGAGGAGCCAGCAGGGCACCCUGGCCAGGGAGAGACCAGGACACGGAUGGGACAUCUAGAUGCCAGAAGGGGAGACACCGGUUCACGCCUUAGGAGGUGCAGAUGACAAUAUCGGGUUCAAAGCACAAGUAAUCUCUACACCCAAGGCGGAGCUCGAAUUCAGGAUCCUGAGAUCAAGAGUCGCAGACUCCACUGAGUGAGCAGGCCAAGCGCCCCUGUGAGCUCAGCUAUUUUAUUUUUAUUUUAUUUCUUAUUUCAUUUUAUUUUAAUUAUACGUGUGACAUCACUGA